UGGGCUAUAGCCAAGCGGUAAGGCAACGGUUUUUUGGUACCGUCAUGCGCUGGUUCGAAUCCAGCUAGCCCAGCCA
rnacentral:tRNA from 1 species